rnacentral:rRNA from 1 species
GACGAACGCUGGCGGCGUGCUUAACACAUGCAAGUCGAACGGAAAGGUCCUGCUUUUGUGGGGUGCUCAAGUGGCGAACGGGUGAGUAACACGUGAGUAACCUGCCCUUGACUUUGGGAUAACUUCAGGAAACUGGGACUAAUACCGGAUAGGAGCUCCUGCUGCAUGGUGGGGGUUGGAAAGUUUCGGCGGUUGGGGAUGGAUCCGCGGCUUAUCAGCUUGUUGGGGGGGUGGCGGCUUACCACGGCUUUGACGGGUCGCCGGCCUGGGAGGGUGACCGGCCACAUUGGGACUGAGAGACGGCCCAGACUCCUACGGGAGGCAGCGGUGUGGAAUAUUGCACAAUGGGCGGAAGCCUGAUGCAGCAACGCCGCGUGCGGGAUAACGGCCUUCGGGUUGUAAACCGCUUUCGCCUGUGACGAAGCGUGAGUGACGGUAAUUGGUAAAGAAGCACCGGCUAACUACGUG